CCUACGGGGGGCUGCAGUAAGGAAUAUUGGUCAAUGCCCGGAAGGGUGAACCAGCCAUCCCGCGUGAAGGAUGAAGGGGCUCUGCCUUGUAAACUUCUUUUGUAUGGGGCGAAAAAAGGGGAUUUAUCCUCGACUGACGGUACCAUAAGAAUAAGCACCGGCUAACUCCGUGCCAGCAGCCGCGGUAAUACGGAGGGUGCAAGCGUUAUCCGGAAUCACUGGGUUUAAAGGGUGCGUAGGCUGUUUAAUAAGUCAGUGGUGAAAGGCCGUCGCUUAACGAUGGGACUGCCAUUGAUACUGUUAGACUUGAAUCAGGUUGAGGUUGGCGGAAUGUGGCAUGUAGCGGUGAAAUGCAUAGAUAUGCCAUGGAAUACCGAUUGCGAAGGCAGCUGACUGGACCUUGAUUGACGCUGAGGCACGAAAGCGUGGGUAGCGAACAGGAUUAGAUACCCCAGUAGUC
rnacentral:rRNA from 1 species